rnacentral:rRNA from 1 species
GUGAGGAAUAUUGGUCAAUGGACGGAAGUCUGAACCAGCCAUGCCGCGUGCAGGAAUAAGGUCCUAUGGAUUGUAAACUGCUUUUAUUCGGGAAUAAACCUCUUUACGUGUAGGGAGCUGAAGGUACCGAAGGAAUAAGCACCGGCUAACUCCGUGCCAGCAGCCGCGGUAAUACGGAGGGUGCAAGCGUUAUCCGGAAUCAUUGGGUUUAAAGGGUCCGCAGGCGGGCUAUCAAGUCAGAGGUGAAAUCCCACAGCUUAACUGUGGAACUGCCUUUGAAACUGAUGGUCUAGAAUUAAGUGGGCGUUGGCGGAAUAUGACAUGUAGCGGUGAAAUGCAUAGAUAUGUCAUGGAACACCGAAAGCGAAGGCAGCUAACGAUACUUAUAUUGACGCUCAUGGACGAAAGCGUGGGUAGCGAACAGGAUUAGAAACCCGUGUAGUCC